GUAGUGGGGGACAACGUUUCGAAAGGAACGCUAAUACCGCAUACGUCCUACGGGAGAAAGCAGGGGACCUUCGGGCCUUGCGCUAUCAGAUGAGCCUAGGUCGGAUUAGCUAGUUGGUGGGGUAAUGGCUCACCAAGGCGACGAUCCGUAACUGGUCUGAGAGGAUGAUCAGUCACACUGGAACUGAGACACGGUCCAGACUCCUACGGGAGGCAGCAGUGGGGAAUAUUGGACAAUGGGCGAAAGCCUGAUCCAGCCAUGCCGCGUGUGUGAAGAAGGUCUUCGGAUUGUAAAGCACUUUAAGUUGGGAGGAAGGGCAUUAACCUAAUACGUUAGUGUUUUGACGUUACCGACAGAAUAAGCACCGGCUAACUCUGUGCCAGCAGCCGCGGUAAUACAGAGGGUGCAAGCGUUAAUCGGAAUUACUGGGCGUAAAGCGCGCGUAGGUGGUUUGUUAAGUUGGAUGUGAAAGCCCCGGGCUCAACCUGGGAACUGCAUCCAAAACUGGCAAGCUAGAGUACGGUA
rnacentral:rRNA from 1 species